rnacentral:rRNA from 1 species
UGCAGUCGAGCGGAACGAGUUAUCUGAACCUUCGGGGAACGAUAACGGCGUCGAGCGGCGGACGGGUGAGUAAUGCCUAGGAAAUUGCCCUGAUGUGGGGGAUAACCAUUGGAAACGAUGGCUAAUACCGCAUGAUGCCUACGGGCCAAAGAGGGGGACCUUCGGGCCUCUCGCGUCAGGAUAUGCCUAGGUGGGAUUAGCUAGUUGGUGAGGUAAGGGCUCACCAAGGCGACGAUCCCUAGCUGGUCUGAGAGGAUGAUCAGCCACACUGGAACUGAGACACGGUCCAGACUCCUACGGGAGGCAGCAGUGGGGAAUAUUGCACAAUGGGCGCAAGCCUGAUGCAGCCAUGCCGCGUGUGUGAAGAAGGCCUUCGGGUUGUAAAGCACUUUCAGUCGUGAGGAAGGUAGUGUAGUUAAUAGCUGCAUUAUUUGACGUUAGCGACAGAAGAAGCACCGGCUAACUCCGUGCCAGCUGCC